GAGUUUGAUCGUGGCUCAGAGUGAACGCUGGCGGUAGGCCUAACACAUGCAAGUCGAACGGCAGCACAGUAAGAGCUUGCUCUUACGGGUGGCGAGUGGCGGACGGGUGAGGAAUACAUCGGAAUCUACUUUUUCGUGGGGGAUAACGUAGGGAAACUUACGCUAAUACCGCAUACGACCUACGGGUGAAAGCAGGGGAUCUUCGGACCUUGCGCGAUUGAAUGAGCCGAUGUCGGAUUAGCUAGUUGGCGGGGUAAAGGCCCACCAAGGCGACGAUCCGUAGCUGGUCUGAGAGGAUGAUCAGCCACACUGGAACUGAGACACGGUCCAGACUCCUACGGGAGGCAGCAGUGGGGAAUAUUGGACAAUGGGCGCAAGCCUGAUCCAGCCAUACCGCGUGGGUGAAGAAGGCC
rnacentral:rRNA from 1 species